GCCAGACUCCCAGAGGUGCCGUGGCACUGCACAAUUAUUGCUCCAGACAGCUGAAAGCAGCGGGGCUCCUGCUUCCCCUGCUUGGUUUCAGCCUGCCGUGAUUGCUGCUGCAGAAAGAUGCUGAUUAUAAGUAAACAUUAAUUAUGCCCUGCUACCCCGCUGCUCGCGGCGCUGGGCCUGCGCUCUACUCCUGCCACUGGAAAAUCAUCUGCGUGGAUUUCAGCGUAGAACCACGGAAUAUCCCGUGCUGGGAGGGACCAAAGGGAUCACUGAAUCCAGCUCCUGGCUCCACACAGGGCCACCAGAGGCUCAAACCCUAUUUCAGGUACACCUUCAUGUACAGAACGGAUGUGUAGUUCUUUAUCCAGAUCCAACACAUUUUGGGUUGAAAAUCCACCUCACCUCCAGAGGGAGUGUUUUUACUGCAGCAGUUUGCCCUGGAGCAGACCACAUCCAGAGUCCCAUCUUGCUUGGACAAGAGAGCAUUACUUCUAAGCACUCUCCUCACUUGUAGAUGGAGUUAUGGCACGUUUUGUGCCACUGCAAUCCCACGCUGCUGCAAAAGCACUGAAUAACGCCCUCGUCACCCUGAAGAAAGGGAGCUCAGGUGAUGCAGUGAGCAGCUCUGUGAUCUGCUGGGGAGGCCUCACUGAGCAUCACCUCAUUUACACAAGGAGGACAGCUUUGUGUCAGCUUAAGGACAGUACAAAACCUGUGCAAGUUUGCCUUUACUGUGGUUUAACACCACAAACCCCUCAACACACAGAAACAAAUCUCAGUAAAGUAGAUUGCAAGGAAAAGGGAAAGGAUGUGUUAUAGGGCUGUGGAUUCAACAGUUUUGGUAGGAAAUGAUGCUGCAGGAGGAGCAGGGCUGCUAACACAGAGCUGUUCAGUCUCUGCCUGCCUAAGAGGAGCUCAGACUCUUCCCAUGUGCUGGUGCUCUUCGGAAUUAUACUGGCACUUGAGAGAAAGGGUUUUAAAGAAAGGCUUUGACAUACUUCUUCCUUAAAGGUUAGUACCUAAAACGCAGCAAUGGAAGGAGAUCAAAGUGGGCAAGAACUGGUCACAAAGAAGGGAAAGGCAAAAGCCAAAUGGAGCUGGAAAGGGUCAAUGAGCACGAGUGGAACUGAAAGCAGUCACAGCAGACAAUAGCAACUCCUUUGUCAUUUUGCUCUUACUGCAGCACUGGAGGUGGAGAACACAGUGCUUUUCUGCUCUCUGCAGCACAGCCCACAAAGUCGCAGGCUUACUGUGCCCACAGCCUCCAAGUCAACACGCUGUGUAUUUAUGUCAUUAAAGCAACAAGAGGCCACUUCAUUCACGGUAUUUAAGCCUAUACAUUGGAAGUCCCAGGCAGGUUUUGAGUGACAAGGCUCGGUGAGGUUGUUCGGCCAUUGCCUGCUGCAAAAUUCCUCCUGCAUUCCUGGCUGCCUGCUGGGCACAGCCCAUGCCCGAGCUCUGCCUGCUGCGUGUGCUCACCCCUGUCCCCAGACCAGCGUGGUUCCACACCCCGGCUCCCAGCUCCGUAGGAUCAAUGUGCUGAGGGAGCAGUUGUUCAGCACCAGCGCGGCCUUCAGGAUCUUCCCCUCUCCUUGAUACUAAACAGGUGUUAAACGGAAGACAAGGAGUGAAUUCAAACUGACCCUGAGAAGCCCAAGGAACAGACAGACAUCAGAUGGAUGACAAAGUGGAAAGCACUUCAGAGGGAAACGUCAAGUGCAAAAUGGCCCCAGCAAACAAGCCCAACCUGUGGCCCUCAUCAACCUGCCAGGCAGCAGUGGACCUAGGAGGACCAACAGCCUGCAGACAUCCAGAAACUGUGGGAGUCCCUGGUAUGCUGUGUCCAUAACGCAGGAAAAGGAAAACAUUAUCCUGGGACACACCUGCAGGAGUGGUUUAUGUGCGACACAGAAGAAAUGACUGUGCUCUACUUGGCGCCAGUGUGGUCUCAGCUGGAGGCCGCUGUCCUGUUUGAGGCACCACGCUUUAAGGAAGAUGGAGGUUGGAUGAGAUCCAAAGGAGAUCAUCUGAAAGGCAAAA
ensembl:lncRNA